GGGGCUGAUUCUGGAUUCGACGGGAUUUGCGAAACCCAAGGUGCAUGCCGAGGGGCGGUUGGCCUCGUAAAAAGCCGCAAAAAAUAGUCGCAAACGACGAAAACUACGCUUUAGCAGCUUAAUAACCUGCUUAGAGCCCUCUCUCCCUAGCCUCCGCUCUUAGGACGGGGAUCAAGAGAGGUCAAACCCAAAAGAGAUCGCGUGGAAGCCCUGCCUGGGGUUGAAGCGUUAAAACUUAAUCAGGCUAGUUUGUUAGUGGCGUGUCCGUCCGCAGCUAGCAAGCGAAUGUAAAGACUGACUAAGCAUGUAGUACCGAGGAUGUAGGAAUUUCGGACGCGGGUUCAACUCCCGCCAGCUCCACCA
rnacentral:tmRNA from 1 species